UCUAUCUUCAAGCUGCAAUGAAGCUGAGAGCCACAGAAAACACCUGUACCAUGGUUUCAGGGAGGAGUCUCUUCCCUCAGCCGAAAACAGACAGCUUUGCUGGUCAUCUGUUCUCCACUGCGAGGACGCUGCCACUCAGUGUGGAGAGAGGAAGGGGUUCUGCCUAUGGUGCAAGAAGGUCGGACUCGGCAGUUAAUACUCUUGGAUAAUGUAUUUAAGGAUGCUUAAGAAAUUGCAACAGCCAGUUCAACCUUCAGCAACCACCAUACUGAUCAGUAGUCAUCAACAUUGAGACGAGACUGUACACCAGCAAAAAGAUCCCAACUCAAUGAAGGCUCAGAUGAUUUUAGCAUUUUUUUAGCAAUAAAGCAUUUUUAAAUUAAACUAUAUACAUUGUUGUUUUAGACAAGUUUUUGCACAUUCAGAAUACAGUAAAGUGUAAACAUGACUUUUAUAUACACUGGGGAAACCAAAAAAUUUGUGUGACUUACUUUAUUGCAAUAUUUGUUUUAUUGUGCUGAUCUGGAGCUAAAUAUAUCUGAGAUAUGCUUGUACUGAUGAUUAUUUUAACACCAAGAUAUUUUAAAAUUCAUUAAAUAAAUGUUUAUUUAAAUAGA
rnacentral:lncRNA from 1 species